rnacentral:lncRNA from 1 species
AUGAUUCAACAACAGGUGCAGCAGAGUAUUCCUCAGCACACGAUCCAGCACCAGACUAUGACACAAAUUAUGCCGCAGCAGCAAGGCCUACAACAGCACAGCAUACACCAACAACAAGGCAUGCAUCCUCCACCAAUGCAUCAACAGCAAAUCAUAACGCAGAGUUUGCCCCAGCAACAGAAUCUGCUUUCCCAGCAGAAUGUCAUGCAGCGUCCCCAGUUUGCACAAAGUAUGCCAGAGUCAGAGGGUCAGCACUAUCAGCAGCAGGUGCCAAUGAAUCAAUCGUCAUUUGAGCGAAUGAAGCAGCUAGGAGCGCAACAGUCUCAGCAUUCACAGCAACAGCAAUCGAUGCAGCAGUCGCAAGAGCAGCGAUCCCAGCAAGCGCAGGAACAACUGAUGCAGCUUGCGCAUCAGCGAUUGCAGGUGCCUGGUGGACAAUCGAGCCAAGGCUCUCCGCAGAAUCGGCCCUCACCACCGCACCAAGGCAGGCAGUCACCCAACGUUUUACUGUCCCCACAGUCAAAUGUCCGCAUCAUGUCGCCCAUGCAGACUGUCAAACAUCAAGCUCAGAAGCGUUCUUAUGAUGAGUACACUAAUGCUCCGCAGCCAGUUCCUGCUCCUAACGCAAGACCACCAAGACAUUGCCUAGUGCGACAAGGCAUUGGUAAUGAGCAACACGGCAACUCAAACAGCAAUAUAAUCGGUGCCGAAAGCGGACGCCCGCCACCGGAGAAGCAAUUAAUGCCGCCCCCUCCCCCUCCUGCUUCCGGGGUGCCAGAUAACUGGAAAGAAUCAUCCCAAAAAUCAUCAGUAUCAGUGCAUGGAGAUGGAAAGCCUGAAGCUAAAAGAAUGCGUCCAAACCAUGGUGCUUUCAGCGACAGUGAUAGCGGAAGAGGAGUAGAUCGGCCGACGUACACUCACUAUUCGUCGAAGCCUCAGAUGUACAACAAUCAAAUGCCUUUUCACAUGCAGGGGCUGGGGAUGUGCCCGCCUCCUCCACCCCCACCCCCAUUACCGCUGGACGGAGCCUAUCAGCAGCAGGUGAGCUUCAGUUCGUCAAACGAUGGAGCAGGGUAUCAAAAUGCGGCACAGCAGCAAGCGCAGAUGCCACUUCAGCAGUCAGCUCCCUCUCCUGGGAACCACCAAUCACAGCCGCCUCAACCACAGCAACAGCAGCAGCAGUUGCAACAACCGCAGCAGCCCCGCCACCUCAGCACCAAGAUCAGCACCAACAGCAACAGCAGCAGCAGCAGCAACAACAACAGCAACAACAACAACAACAGCAGCAUCAACAACAAUCACAGCAACAGCAGCACCAUCAACAACAACAACACCAACAUACCCAGAACUAUCCUUAUUGGAUGAACCAGCAAUGAAAUAAUGAUGUAUCAAGGAAAAUGUUUUGUACAGACAUUUGUCAAGGAAUCUAGAAUCUGAGAAAACGUGAAGUACGAGGAUUCAUUAGAGAAUGAAGAAGCUCGAGAGAACUGAGGCAAUUCACGAAGGAACCUGCACUAAGAACUAGAGUAUUUCUCUAGCUGCUCCAAAAACCCUUUUCUUUAGUGGUGGUCUCUUCAUACUUGGCUUCAAAAAAUUUGCCAUUAAAAUGGACAAAAGAGAAUCUUUGAGAAAAUUCAGCGAAAUAAGUGGCAAGAUCUGUGAAAUUCAAAAGAGUAGCAAGAAGCUAAAACAUUCAAGAAUUUUGGAUGCUGCGUUUGAAGAAGUAGCAGUAUCCAAAUCUCAAGAUUCAUAAUCAGUCUCUUCAUCUAAAAAGAGUCCUGUGUAAGAAUACAUUAAUUUAAUCACGAAUCGGUGUAUGAAUGGCAGUUUUGCCUUUUCUGAAAUGAAACAAGAAAGGCGCCUCUUUUUAUCGAAGCAGUCCAGUUGGGCAUGAAGUCGUCGGUUUUUUGAUGCAUGAUUGAAAAUCUUUUAACUUUAACCCAUCUCUUUUUCAUCUACAAAUUGAAAGGAUGAACAAAAAUUAGGAAGAUUGAUCUGGAAAUUCUUUGUAGAUGCUCUGCAAGUUACACAAAUUCUCUUAAGUUGGUUCUUGUUACUCGGAUUUUAGUUAUUUGAAAGCAAUAAUUUUACUCUGAUUUAUUCAAGGACUGGAUUGUACUAUACGCUUAAAAAUUUUUGAAUCAAGUGAAAAUUAAACACAGAAAACUCAAUUUCUGCUCCUUUGUUGGAAAGCAAAACUGGUCGUUGAUUCAUUUGAAAAAAGAAAAUCUUGUCUUUCAAAUAGUCAGUAGUUAUAAAGUAUCGUUCGUGAUCUAAAAUCAAAUGUAAUUAUUUGGAAUUUUUAGGAUAUUUUUAUGUACAGAGCCUUCAUGCAAGCUGUCAAUUAAAUUGUUUGUUUCUUGAACGAAAUUUGAUGUGAUUUAAUUUUGAAUUUUUAAAGCUUGCUCUGGCCUCAGGCAAGCCAUAAGCAAGUUCUUUUUACCGUUUUGACAACAUUUUUGCAAGAUACCUACAGCAUCCUUAGUCUGACUUGUAAGUAACAAACUUGUGUUUCAGUUUUAUGAGGCAAAAUUAAAGAAGAAUGAUAACAAUUUUUCGUUUUUAAGACUUUUCAUGUUUUAAAUUAUGCCUAAACCCAAAAGAAAAUUCUCAAUUUGACCAAUUUCUCCUCCACGUGAUAUAAUGUAAAUUUGUACAUGUGUACUACCAAUGUUUUGUAAAUAUCCCUGUAAUAUUUGUACUCUUUCUUUUUGAAAAUAAUUUGUGAUACUUCCUUGUAGGGUUUUCUUUUUGUUUUAAAAAAAUAAAUCGAAUAAUUUAUUAAAUCAUUUGGUUUGAUAUCUUUAUCUCCUUGUUUCAAUUAGUAUUAUUAAGAUAUGUUCAUUUUUGCCAUCAUUUUAUCGAUAUUUCCUUGGUUUGUCACUCUGCCAGUCCACUCGCACUUUCAUAUCUUACUUAGUAGAGUUAAGUACUAAUAUUUAGCACGGUUCUGGAGACAGCAGCAGUUUUUUUUUCGGAACUGAUGAUCUAAUAUCAGUUACUUUACGCCUACAGGCAAGCAGCUUACAGGCGUGGACGAAUUUAAACUGUAAACAUUUGAUUAUAGGUAAAAUAGUAAUAUUUCCUGUUAACUAUUAAAAACUAACUUCUCAUCUCUACAACAUCAUAGUGGGCAUGUUUUUGUGAUAUAGUACCAAUAGCUUAAUUCAGGAACCAUAUAUCUUACCUUGUCUUUCAAUAUCUGCCUUUAUUUUGUUUUAUUUUUUUAAUGGGAAUCAACACAACUUACUUCACUCGAAUUUUCUAUUUUUUUCGAAUAUUUUACUCGAAAUUUUCAUAAAUAUUGCUCAAAUAGAUUUGAAAAUUCUCCGGUAUUUUGUUGAUAGACUUUCUCAAAGAAAUAUGAUGUAAGAUCAAAUGGACGUAUUUCUGCCAAAUGGAACUAUGUGCAUUAAGACAUGAGCCCUGAGACCCAUAAGAACAUAUGCCUACCAGGACUCACGUCAUAAUUUACAUAGUUCCGUUUGGCAGAAACACGUCCAAAUUCAAGUCAGUAUCAUUGCAAGGCAAUAUUUACUUGGUUUCUGAAUUUAGCCACCCAUUUGGAUCACAUUUUGCAAGAAGGAGCCACUACUUAUUUCUGGCUCAUUGUAGAAACAACCUACAUGCCAUCGGUUUCCCUAUGCAGAUAUGUGCUUUUAUGAGA